AAAAAUGGCUAUGCUACCCUGAAGAAGCCCCAUCCUGUCUGAUCUCAGAAGCUAAGCAGGGUCGGGCCUGGUUAGUACUUGGAUGGGAGACCACCUAGGAAGACCAGGUGCUGUAGGUG
rnacentral:rRNA from 1 species